rnacentral:rRNA from 1 species
UACAGAGGGUGCAAGCGUUAAUCGGAAUUACUGGGCGUAAAGCGUGCGUAGGCGGCCAACUAAGUCGGAUGUGAAAUCCCCAGGCUUAACCUGGGAACUGCAUCCGAUACUGGAUGGCUUGAAUCCGGGAGAGGGAUGCAGAAUUCCAGGUGUAGCGGUGAAAUGCGUAGAUAUCUGGAGGAAUACCGGUGGCGAAGGCGGCAUCCUGGACCGGCAUUGACGCUGAGUGAGCGAAAGCUAGGGGAGCAAACGGG